UGGAAAUAAUUGAAGUGAAAGGCGGAAGUAGUAUUUAAUUAUGCCAUAUUAUCAUUAGCCUUUCAGACACAAACAUCUGUAGAAUAAACUUGACCCAUAUAUAUAGGCAUCAGGCCUUAUACUAGUUUAAUAUUGGUAAAAUGUCAUAUAAUUGACUCAUCAGAUCUAACCUAUCAGCAGAGGGAGGAAGUGAUGUAAACUCCCUAGGGGUAUAAAUAGGCCUCAGAAAUCUCUUCCAAAUCACUUGCCAUACAGGAAAGGAGGCAGCAACACAGGUCCUGAAUCUCUUAAUUUCUAGUUGGAAGUUAUAUCUUACCGGCCACUGUGGAGCUCAGAACCUACUUGUUGUCGAACUCUAAAGAAUUUUUAUUUUAGAAGAUGCACCUUAUUGGAUUUUAAGGAGCUUUUUAGCCCAACUUGUUAUCAUCGUGCUGAACUUUAAGUAAGUUAUAACAAAGUUCAGUUUUUAAAUAUGCCUAUUAAGUGCUUUGGACACCCUUAAUUAUCUUCAAUUAAUUUCUUAGACUAAUUCAUCCGGUCAAGAUUAGACCAUCAGUGAGCAAGUGAAUUUGUAUUGGAAAGUGAGUAUGGCUACAUAUUCCAAUAAGAUUCUAAAUUCCUUGAGGCAUUUGGCCCGUAAUACUGUUGAAUUUCUUAUUUAGACAUAUUGAACAUUGACUGACCAUAAUAUAGGAGUAGUUGAUCUCUAAUGAAGAUUAUCUCCAGAGACAGCCAAAAUUACAGAGAAUAAACUACCGUAUUAUAAAGAAGAAAUAAUCCACUCAGAGCAGUUAUAUUUGCACA